GAUUAAGUUAUUAAGGGCGCACGGUGGAUGCCUUGGCACUAGAAGCCGAUGAAGGACGUUACUAACGACGAUAUGCUUUGGGGAGCUGUAAGUAAGCUUUGAUCCAGAGAUUUCCGAAUGGGGAAACCCAGCAUGAGUUAUGUCAUGUUAUCGAUAUGUGAAUACAUAGCAUAUCAGAAGGCACACCCGGAGAACUGAAACAUCUUAGUACCCGGAGGAAGAGAAAGAAAAUUCGAUUCCCUUAGUAGCGGCGAGCGAAACGGGAAGAGCCCAAACCAACAAGCUUGCUUGUUGGGGUUGUAGGACACUCUAUACGGAGUUACAAAGGACGACAUUAGACGAAUCAUCUGGAAAGAUGAAUCAAAGAAGGUAAUAAUCCUGUAGUCGAAAAUGUUGUCUCUCUUGAGUGGAUCCUGAGUACGACGGAGCACGUGAAAUUCCGUCGGAAUCUGGGAGGACCAUCUCCUAAGGCUAAAUACUCUCUAGUGACCGAUAGUGAACCAGUACCGUGAGGGAAAGGUGAAAAGCACCCCGGAAGGGGAGUGAAAUAGAACCUGAAACCGUGUGCUUACAAGUAGUCAGAGCCCGUUAAUGGGUGAUGGCGUGCCUUUUGUAGAAUGAACCGGCGAGUUACGAUUUGAUGCAAGGUUAAGCAGUAAAUGUGGAGCCGUAGCGAAAGCGAGUCUGAAUAGGGCGUUUAGUAUUUGGUCGUAGACC
rnacentral:rRNA from 1 species